rnacentral:rRNA from 1 species
UACGGGGGGGGCAAGCGUUGUUCGGAAUUACUGGGCGUAAAGGGUUCGUAGGCGGCCAACUAAGUCGGAUGUGAAAUCCCCAGGCUUAACCUGGGAACUGCAUCCGAUACUGGAUGGCUUGAAUUCGGGAGAGGGAUGCAGAAUUCCAGGUGUAGCGGUGAAAUGCGUAGAUAUCUGGAGGAAUACCGGUGGCGAAGGCAGCUCUCUGGUACAUGAUUGACGCUGAGACGCGAAAGCGUGGGGAGCGAACAGG